GCCUGGGUGGCUCAGUUGGUUGAGCGUCCGAUUUUGGCUCUGGUCAUGAGCUCACGGUUUGUGGGUUCGAGCCCCGUGUCGGGCU
rnacentral:tRNA from 1 species